AAUAGAUACCCAGGUAGUCCACGCCCUAAACGAUGCUCACUAGGUGUUGGGGAAGCGAUUCCUUGGUACCGUAGCUAACGCGUGAAGUGAGCCGCCUGGGGAGUACGGCCGCAAGGUUAAAACUCAAAGGAAUUGACGGGGACCCGCACAAGCGGUGGAUGAUGUGGAUUAAUUCGAUGCAACGCGAACAACCUUACCUACCCUUGACAUGUCCGGAAGCCUGCUGAAAGGUGGGGUGCUCGAAAGAGAACCGGAACACAGGUGCUGCAUGGCUGUCGUCAGCUCGUGUCGUGAGAUGUUGGGUUAAGUCCCGCAACGAGCGCAACCCUUGUCCCUAGUUGCUACGCAAGGGCACUCUAGGGAGACUGCCGGUGACAAACCGGAGGAAGGUGGGGAUGACGUCAAGUCCUCAUGGCCCCUAUGGGUAGGGCUUCACACGUCAUACAAUGGACGGUACAGAGGGUUGCCAACCCGCGAGGGGGAGCCGAAUCCCAGAAAGCCGUUCGUAGUCCGGAUCGCAGUCUGCAACUCGACUGCGUGAAGUCGG
rnacentral:rRNA from 1 species